AACUCAAAGGAAUUGACGGGGACCCGCACNAGCGGUGGAUGAUGUGGAUUAAUUCGAUGCAACGCGAAGAACCUUACCUNGUCUUGACAUGUACGGAAUCUNUCAGAGACGGGAGAGUGCCUUCGGGAGCCGUAACACAGGUGCUGCAUGGCUGUCGUCAGCUCGUGUCGUGAGAUGUUGGGUUAAGUCNNGCANCGAGCGCAACCCUUGUCAUUAGUNGCCAUCAUUAAGUUGGGCACUNUAAUGAGACUGCCGGUGACAAACCGGAGGAAGGUGGGGAUGACGUCAAGUCCUCAUGGCCCUUAUGACCAGGGCUUCACACGUCAUACAAUGGUCGGUACAGAGGGUUGCCAAGCCGCGAGGUGGAGCCAAUCUCACAAAACCGAUCGUAGUCCGGAUUGCACUCUGCAACUCGAGUGCAUGAAGUCGGAAUCGCUGGUAAUCGCAGGUCAGCAUACUGCGGUGAAUACGUUC
rnacentral:rRNA from 1 species